AAAAAGGGCUUCUGCCAUGCGUGGCAUGGGGGGGGGGCUUCAGCUACCCCCGUGGAAUCAAUGUCAAGAGAUUUUGGAAGCACAGUUUUUGUGGGAGGGGUUGCCAGAAACUGCCUGUUCUGGCACGAAA
ensembl:snRNA